rnacentral:misc_RNA from 1 species
UCAAAUCAUAGUAAACAAACCGUUUAAACCGUGAAACUAAUCAAAAAACAUGACUUCGUCGUUUUGGUGGAUGAAAAAGUCCAAAACGGACUCAAACAUUGUUGAUAUAUCAAAACCGCCUGUCGAAGAAGACAUUUCGUCAUCGCUGGCCGAAUUUUUACAAAAAGAGGUUAUAACCGAAGACUUACCCGUUGGCGAUAAAGGCGAACUUGAUAUCCCUAGUAUAAUCGAAGAAAUUAAUCGAAUAGCCGCUCAAAGCCCAUUAGGACCAUACGAAGAUGGUAGCGGAGAUCGUAGUGUUGAAGAUUUAAUGCGAGAGGCGGAAAAAAUUUAUAUGGAGAGUUCAAAAAGCUUUGAGCAACUCAGCCAGCAUUCGGCGACUUCCCAUAACGUUACCGAUCACUUAAACUCGAAUACUGUGAGUCCGAUGUCAGAGAAUACCCCGAAAAGUUUAGGGAAGGAGGAUGAGGAGUAUUCGGAUGAUUUUAAUAAAUCGGAAAGUGAACGAUCUUCGAAAUCGAAGGUUGACGAGAUUAGUUUGGAAAGUUUUGGAACCCCGAUCGAAGAGAAUAGGGUUAUUAAUGACAACGUUAGUAAAAACUUGCAAAAAGAUGAAGUCAUAAUUGAAAUUAACGAUAAAAUGAAUCAAGAAGAAUUCAAUUUAAAUUUGGUUGAUUCUGCCGUUCAUUUAAGCGAAAAGCAAUUAUCUUUACAAUCAGAGAUUGAAACGAAAAAUAAAGAGAUUAUCUUUUUUAAAGAUGAAGCGAUUAAAAAGGAUCAUGUUAUUGAGCACUUAAUCGAAGAGAAUAAAAUAAUUAAAAGCGAUCUUAGAGAGUUACAGUCUCAACUCCAAGAAACUAUCAAUUUGUUAGAACAAGCAAAAAACGCGUUAAAAUCGCAAAGUUUGAAAUCGCCCGAAGUCAAUUUAGAAUUAGAAAAAGCUCUGGAAGAUGUUAAAGACACGAAAGAAAUAAACACGGCGCUUCAGCUUCAAUUAGAUUCCGUGAAUCAAUCGCACCAAUUCUUAAAAAUAGCUUACGACGAGUUACAAGUUUCGAAUAAAAGUUUGGAAAGGAAAAUCGUCGACGUCGACAUCACGUUGGCUAAAUACAAAGGGGAAUUGUUAAAUUUGCAGCAUCAAAACGAAAAGUAUCAGGAGAACGAGUUAGGUUUAAAUAAAUUGUUGGAAAUUGAAAAGCUCGAAGUGAAAAGCUUAAAGUUGCAAACGGAGAAAGAUGCGAGAUGUAUCAUGGAUUUAAAUCGGCAAAUAAAAGAGAUGGAGCGGAUUAUAACGCGAAAACAUCCCGAUUCCGUUUCCGCGUUAAUCGUAGCAGCAAAAAACGACGUUUCCGAAAACAAUGUUUCAACAAAAAAAUUCUUGGAAGAUCGCAUAAAAUCGUUAGAAACCGAAGCGCAAAAGCGCGACGUCCAAAACUCCAAAGUAUUUUUAGACGUCCAAGAAAAAUUUAACCAAAUGAAAAUCAAAUAUGAAAGUCACAUCGAAGACUUGGAGUUGCACGUAAACGAUUUAAAAGAUCAAUUAAAAAGGCGCGAAGAUAAUUUUGACGUUUAUACCCAAACGGUACCAUUUGAAUCACCCCGCAAAGACACCGUUUCGGUUUCCGUUCAAACUGAAACCUUAAAAAUAAAGAAUCCCCCGAAUAUUACAAAAAGAAGCGAUAAAUUAGAUGUUCACGUUAAAGAAGACGCGCAUCUUUUAGCGACAAUAAGAGGAUUACAAACGGAUUUAUCGAAUAAAGAGAAAGCGUUGAUGAAAAGCCAACGGGAUUUGGAGGAGGUUAAAAAAACUAAUCGCAGGUUACAAAAAGAAAGGGAAGGGAGUUUGAGGAAUUUAUCCGAACGAAAAGAAUUUCGAAGUUACCCCGAGAAAUUAACGAAUCAACUAUCAAAGAAUAACGAAGAGAAACAUUGCGAUGAUGAAGUGAGAGCUUUGAGAACGGAACGGGAUAAAAUGAAAUCGCAAUUGUGUCGAAUCGAGGAUGAUUUUCAAGUUUUAAAGAAUAAAAGAAUACAAGAUCUUACAGAAACAAUUGAUGGGGACCAAGGAGGAAUUAGCUAUUGUUACCGUAGAGCGCGAUCAUUUGAAUAACAGACUCCAACCUGUUUUGCCAUCGUUUGAUUCAAGCGAUUCUAGCGAAGUUGAAGCGUUAAAGAAAAAAGUGGCUUUUUUGGAAAGACGUUACGAAGAACGAGAACACCGUUUAAGGGCUAUCGUACAUGGUUUGGCACAAAAGAACGUCUCAAAUAAGAGUUGCGACCAAUGCGCGAUAAGACAACAACAAUUAAUCGGCUACAAAGUCGAAUUGGAUCAAUUAAUUGCGACUUUGAAGUGUUUGCAAUGAUUUUCAUCCGAUUAAGUCCAAUUUGAAACGUCCAAUAACUAUUUAACGUUUUAUGAAGAAACUUAGUCCAAUAUUUAAAACUUUUAGUAUUUAGAGAUCUUCCAGUAUUUAUAGAUUUUUUAAAUAAUUUUUUUAUACAUAUUUUCUUGAUAGGACUAAAACGGUAAGUGUUAUUUAUCUGGUUAUACCCGUUGUUAUAUUGUAUUUAUAUUGAUAUUUAAACCCUAUAGUUAAUUAUAGAAGGGAAAAAAGAAAUAUUUAUUUUCAUUUUA